rnacentral:lncRNA from 1 species
UCACUGCCCCUCAGGGGGCAGGGGGCUGGCGAUUCCUGAAGGAGCCCUGUCCCCUUCCAGAGUGUGUUAUCCUAAGUCACCAUGGAGAACCUGCAGCAGGCUCAUUGCCCGGCCAGGCAGAACUGCUUGGCCAUAACAAAGAUCCACUGCCUUUCUGAUGGCACCCAGCACCUCGGAUUCUGUAUACACGGGAGGUGACUUAAGCAUCUUACUGCCACCCUGAAAUCUGGGGUCCUUUAUCCUGGCAGCAUCUAGACCUAACGCCCACUUCAGAAUGGGAGGGAGGAUGUCUGCUGCCCCGUCGUCUCCACACCCGAGGAAUGUCCGUGUGUGUGCACAGCGGGCUGCACACAGCAGGCUGCACGGUGCUCGAAUGGAGGCCCUAAUGUGAAUGGAGACUAGCCUGCUGGUAGAGACCUUGGCAGUGACCGCCGUGGGCAAUGAGCCAUGGGCCAACAAUAUUCAGUGCUGCGUUCCCUGAUGGAUGGUUACUGUUUGAGACUGAGGCCGGGGUAAAAGGGCUCAGUUUGUGCUUGAUUGACUCAUCCCGACGUGGCAAAGGUCCUGGCUUUCACCGGCGUGGGUAAGGGAAGAAGCGCUUUAUAAUGAGUGUGGCUGGUAUGGCUUCCUGAUUACAUUCUGGGGAAGAUCUUGCCUAGAGAAGAUCUGCUAGAGAAGGAGGCAAGACACUGAUAAUGGACUUACAAUGGCUGAUGUACUAUUUAGUGGUACAGGUUCUAACGUUUUAUAUUGUGGACAUGGGAUACCCAGACUGAGGUUCGUGGAUUUUUGAAAUAACCAGUAAUAAGAUAUUUGUGACUCAAUUUUGAGUGAAUGAA